UACGGAGGGUGCGAGCGUUGUCCGGAAUCACUGGGCGUAAAGGGCGCGUAGGCGGCGCGGGUAGUCAUCGGUGAAAGUUCAGGGCUCAACUCUGAAUCGGCCGGUGAUACUCUCGUGCUUGAGCACUGUAGAGGCAGGUGGAAUUCCGGGUGUAGCGGUGGAAUGCGUAGAGAUCCGGAAGAACACCGGUGGCGAAGGCGGCCUGACUGGGCAGUAGC
rnacentral:rRNA from 1 species